rnacentral:tRNA from 1 species
GGGGAUAGCUCAGUGGUAGAGUACAUGCCUAGCAUGCACAAGGUCCUGGGUUCAAUCCCCAGUACCUCCA